UACAGAGGGUGCGAGCGUUAAUCGGAAUUACUGGGCGUAAAGCGUGCGUAGACGGUUAUUUAAGUCGGGUGUGAAAGCCCCGGGCUCAACCUGGGAAUUGCAUUCGAGGCUGAAUAGCUAGGGUACGGUAGAGGGAAGUGGAAUUUCCGGUGUAGCGGUGAAAUGCGCAGAGAUCGGGAGGAACACCAAUGGCGAAAGCAAUCCCCUGGGCCUGCACUGACGCUCAUGCACGAAAGCGUGGGGAGCAAACAGG
rnacentral:rRNA from 1 species